rnacentral:rRNA from 1 species
GAUGAACGCUGGCGGCGUGCCUAAUACAUGCAAGUCGAGCGAACAGACGAGGAGCUUGCUCCUCUGACGUUAGCGGCGGACGGGUGAGUAACACGUGGAUACCCUCCCUAUAAGACUGGGAUAACUUCGGGAAACCGGAGCUAAUACCGGAUAAUAUAUUGAACCGUAUGGUUCAAUAGUGAAAGACGGUUUUGCUGUCACUUAUAGAUGGAUCCGCGCCGCAUUAGCUAGUUGGUAAGGUAACGGCUUACCAAGGCGACGAUGCGUAGCCGACCUGAGAGGGUGAGCGGCCACACUGGAGCUGAGACACGGUCCAGACUCCUAAGGGAGGCAGCAGUAGGGAAUCUUCCGCAAUGGGCGAAAGCCUGACGGAGCAACGCCGCGUGAGUGAGGAAGGUCUUCGGAUCGUAAAACUCUGUUAUUAGGGAAGAACAAAUGUGUAAGUAACUAUGCACGUCUUGACGGUACCUAAUCAGAAAGCCACGGCUAACUACGUG